rnacentral:precursor_RNA from 10 species
UGUGAGAUAUAAGGCAUUUUGAUUCAGACUAGGCAAGAUGUUGGCAUAGCUGAUGACUAGGCUCAGCUCUGUCACAUGCUGCCAUUUCUGGGUCAUCCCUAGCAACCAGAAUCUCA